GGACAGAAGAUUCCAGUGGGAAACACACGCGCCUCCUCGUCGGGCCAGCACAGCAGAAAUGGCGACUCUCUCCAUGGUCUCCGGCCCCGUCGCCACCUCGUCCCUCCCCCUCUCCACCCGCCGCCGCGCCUCCUCCGUCUCCUUCCCCGCCCCCAAGAAGGGCGGCAUUGGUCACGGCGGCCUGCGGAUCGAGUGCAUCCGUAUCGGUGGUGUUGAGAUUCCAAACCACAAGCGGGUGGAGUACUCGCUGCAGUACAUCCAUGGCAUCGGGCGGAACCGCUCCCGCCAGAUCCUUUUGGACCUCAGCUUCGACAACAAGGUCACCAAGGACCUCUCCGAGGAGGAGGUCAUCACACUCCGUAAGGAGGUCACCAAGUACAUGAUUGAAGGAGACCUUAAACGGUUCAACCGUGUAGCGAUUGAGAGGAUGAAGGAGAUCCGGUGCUACAAGGGCAUCCGGCACAAGCUCGGCCUCCCGGUCCGUGGCCAGAGGACAAAGAACAACUGCAGGACGCUCAAGGGGAAGAGGGCUUCGGUCGCCAAGAAGAAGUCGGCUUCGUCCUCCGACGAAUAAGUGACAUUGCCAUGUGUAUUUACCUCCUGUUUGGUUUUUGUGCACUACAUCACGGCGCUAUCACCAUUCGGUACUCCAUUUCAAGUUUCCAUGCUGUCGUAGAUGAAUUGUGGGAAUAUGGUCGGAUGCUGCUGCGAAGUUUAUAGUAAUGUCAUCUCUUCUGUUAUAUGCACUGAUGGUGAACCAUCAAGGUUACUUGCGCGUUUCGUCCCAAGCGCGAAUGUUUUCUUUUGUCGCGGCUCUGCUUGAUGCAAAGACGCCCAACCAGCUACUGAUGACUGGGUUAGCUUAUUUGACACCGGUGCUUCGACAAAUUUCCAAUUGCCAUUGCAAGAUUAUCUUGUGCAGUCAUUUUAUUUGCAAGCUAGACAGAGGAGCUGCAGUGGAAGCUCGAUAAUCUGACUGUCAGGUUUGAUUGCUAGUUUGCUACCAGAUAGUACAAAUUACAGUCAGACAAAUCAUGCAAAAAUCCAAGGCACGGAAAACCUUUGAAUUUGGGAUGAAUUUGGGGUCACCUAAUAGUAAUUUUGUGCAAGUUCAGACAUCUAGUACUUCUGAAUUUGACCGACAAUGUGAGUUGGACGUCCGGCUGCCACCCCACGCGCUAUACCGACCACUCAAAAACCCCGCGACCCCUUCGAGCACACGACUGCGGCUGCAACAGUCACACAAAAAUCCUUCCCUCCCUCCCUCCCGUGCCGCGGCCAUGGCGCUCGUCUCGCUCUCGCUCUCGCCCCCGUGCGCGCCCGCCGCCUCCUCGUCUUCCAACCACCUCCUCACGCCGCCGUCGCUCGCCGGCGGCAGCGGUAGCAUCAGGAGGGGAGGGCCACGGGGCAACGCCGGCCUCGCUCUGACGCUGCCGGCCGGGCGUGGGGGUCGGGAGUGGAGGGCGCCGGUGUCGUCCUUCUCCUCCUUCCUGCCGUCCUUCUUCACGGGGAGCAAGAAGAAGGAGGAGGAGGACGCCAAGAAGGCGGCGACGCUCAAGGAGGAGCUGCUGGCGGCCAUCGCGCCGCUCGACCGCGGCGCCGAGGCCACGCCCGAGGACAAAGACCGCGUCGAGCAGAUCGCGCAGCAGCUGGAGGAGGUGAACCCGACCAAGGAGCCGCUCAAGUCCGAGCUCCUCAACGGCAAGUGGGAGCUCCUCUACACCACCUCCACAUCCAUUCUCCAGCCACAGAGGCCAAAGUUUCUGAGGCCAUACGGGACGAUUUACCAGGCAAUCAACACCGACACCUUACGAGCCCAAAACAUGGAGACACUGCCUUACUUUAAUCAGGUUACUGCCAACUUGGUGCCUCUCAACUCUAGAAAAGUGGCAGUUAGGUUUGAUUACUUCAAAAUAUUUAGCCUGAUCCAAAUCAAAGCACCUGGAAGUGGCAAAGGUGAACUAGAGAUCACAUAUCUUGAUGAAGAGCUCAGGGUUUCAAGAGGCGACAAGGGGAACUUGUUCGUGCUGAAGAUGGUCGACCCAUUAUACCGAGUUCCGUUGUAAUAACAGUAGCUAAAUGCUAGUGUCUACGAGAUGUCAACUAUCCAGAAUGUUCUUUUUCCCGUCCUGAGGCAAUACAGGAUGUGUAGAUAGUGAUGUCUGAGCUUAGUCUAUACAGCUGAUAGCACAUUUGAACUGACAGAACUCAGAUGUGUCGAUGACGAAAUGGGUAUAUAUAUGUGUGUGUUUGGUCCUAAACUCCUAUUCUUCUUCGCUGUUGAAGCUCGGUAAAUGCGUUUGGAUUGCAACUCCUAAAGAUGCCCACC
rnacentral:rRNA from 1 species